AGCGAACGCUGGCGGCAGGCCUAACACAUGCAAGUCGAACGGAUCCUUCGGGAUUAGUGGCGGACGGGUGAGUAACACGUGGGAACGUGCCCUUUGGUUCGGAACAACUCAGGGAAACUUGAGCUAAUACCGGAUGUGCCCUUCGGGGAAAGAUUUAUCGCCAUUGGAGCGGCCCGCGUCUGAUUAGCUAGUUGGUGAGGUAAAGGCUCACCAAGGCGACGAUCAGUAGCUGGUCUGAGAGGAUGAUCAGCCACAUUGGGACUGAGACACGGCCCAAACUCCUACGGGAGGCAGCAGUGGGGAAUCUUGCGCAAUGGGCGAAAGCCUGACGCAGCCAUGCCGCGUGAAUGAUGAAGGUCUUAGGAUUGUAAAAUUCUUUCACCGGGGACGAUAAUGACGGUACCCGGAGAAGGAGUCCCGGCUAACUUCGUGCCAGCCGCCGCGGUAAAAC
rnacentral:rRNA from 1 species